GACGGGCCCGCACAAGCAGCGGAGCGUGUGAUUUAAUUCGAUGCUACACGAAGAACCUUACCAGGGUUUGACAUGCAAGUGGUAGGAAACCGAAAGGCGACCGACCCUUCGGGGAGCUUGCACAGGUGCUGCAUGGCUGUCGUCAGCUCGUGUCGUGAGAUGUUCGGUUAAGUCCGCUAACGAGCGCAACCCUCGCUGUGUGUUACAAGUGUCACACGGUACUGCCGGUCUUAAGCCGGAGGAAGGUGGGGAUGACGUCAAGUCAGCAUGGCCUUUAUGUCCUGGGCUACACACACGCUACAAUGGCCAACACAAUAGGUUGCUAAGCCGCGAGGUGGAGCCAAUCCUCAAAGUUGGUCUCAGUUCAGAUUGCAGGCUGCAACCCGCCUGCAUGAAGAUGGAGUUGCUAGUAACCGCAGGUCAGCUAUACUGCGGUGAAUACGUUCCCGGGGCUU
rnacentral:rRNA from 1 species